UUUCCGUAGGUGUACCUGCGGAAGGAUCAUUAUUGUAUAACCGAGGUGCGAGGGCUUUCGCUAACCCGACAGGUCUUGCACGCCCUAGUGCCCUCGCACACAUCCAUCUCACCCCUGUGGGCAGUACCGCGUGGGUGCCCAUUUGACUCUUUCGGCGGGUGGCUUACUGUUUCACAAAAACUUUUUAUACAAUGUAGAAUGUAUUUUUUGUUUGUUCUGGCACGCAAUCAAUACAACUUUCAACAACGGAUCUCUUGGCUCUCUCAUCGAUAAAUAACC
rnacentral:misc_RNA from 1 species